rnacentral:rRNA from 1 species
AGUGAACGCUGGCGGUAGGCCUAACACAUGCAAGUCGAACGGCAGCACAGUAAGAGCUUGCUCUUACGGGUGGCGAGUGGCGGACGGGUGAGGAAUACAUCGGAAUCUACUUUUUCGUGGGGAUAACGUAGGGAAACUUACGCUAAUACCGCAUACGACCUACGGGUGAAAGCAGGGGAUCUUCGGACCUUGCGCGAUUGAAUGAGCCGAUGUCGGAUUAGCUAGUUGGCGGGGUAAAGGCCCACCAAGGCGACGAUCCGUAGCUGGUCUGAGAGGAUGAUUAGCCACACUGGAACUGAGACACGGUCCAGACUCCUACGGGAGGCAGCAGUGGGGAAUAUUGGACAAUGGGCGCAAGCCUGAUCCAGCCAUACCGCGUGGGUGAAGAAGGCCUUCGGGUUGUAAAGCCCUUUUGUUGGGAAAGAAAAGCAGCAGGUUAAUACCCCGCUGUUCUGACGGUACCCAAAGAAUAAGCACCGGCUAACUUCGUG